CCGUUGAAGGACGGUUUCCUCUUCGGAGGCACCUGCACAGGUGCUGCAUGGCUGUCGUCAGCUCGUGUCGUGAGAUGUUGGGUUAAGUCCCGCAACGAGCGCAACCCUUAUCCCUAGUUGCCAUCAGGUAAAGCUGGGAACUCUGGGGAGACUGCCGGUGAUAAACCGGAGGAAGGCGGGGAUGACGUCAAGUCCUCAUGGCCCUUACAUCCCGGGCUACACACGUGCUACAAUGGCAGGUACAGAGGGCUGCGAAGCCGCGAGGUGGAGCGAAUCCCAGAAAACCUGUCUCAGUCCGGAUUGAAGUCUGCAACUCGACUUCAUGAAGGCGGAAUCGCUAGUAACCGCGAAUCAGCAGGUCGCGGUGAAUACGUUCCCGGGCCUU
rnacentral:rRNA from 1 species